rnacentral:pre_miRNA from 1 species
AAAGUACUCUCUCCGUCCCAAAAUUCUUAUCUUAGAUUUGUCUAGAUACGGAUGUAUCAAGUCACAUUUUAGUAUUAGAUACAUCUGUAUCUAGACAAAUCUAAGACAAGAAAUUUGGGACAGAGGGAGUAAUUG